ACAGAACAGCGUGAAUCAUGUGUGUAAAUGUACUAAACACCACAAAAAAUAAACCUGGCCUCAGUCAAAUACUUAUCCCAUGAAGUAACCGCUGCUCACGUCACCCGCUCGCGUCAUCAGCUGAUGGACUCGUCCAAUCAGAGCCUCGUAAACGCCGUGCAGCAGCGUCGAGUGUCCCGCAGACAGGAAGCGGGUCGUGUUUAGCUUGUCCCGUACGAGUGACUCUGUCUUCGGGGUAAAUAACUUGCUGAAGUCGACACGACGCUGUUCCCUGGAGGAGAAGAUGAGUGCGUGUGGAGGCAGAGCCGCGGGCCCGGUGUGGACGAGUCGAGGCGGAGAAGACGGGCGCACAGUCCCUGAGUUACGGUGAGCUAGAGACGCCAUGCUAACCACUAAGCUAACCCUACAUCUGAAAGCAUGUCCGCCACUCUUUGGGAUAGCGAGAAAGUUGCUAAAAUACGAAUACAGCAUCGAGUGCUGGAGCAGAUCUAGUGCAUGUGUAAAUAUGUAUGAAUUACUUAGAUGUAACAGUUUGUUCUCGUUAAGUUUUUUCAUCAACGUGACUUUUUUUCUGUAUGUUUUCACAGCCUCAGCCCCCCCCCCCCACACACACACAAACAAAGAGGCGUUAGGCUGAGACGCUGAAAGUCCGGAUUUAAAGUGCAGAAAAUUAAGCCAUUGAAUCUGUCUGUCCAUGACGUAGUAAGACACACUAUGAGCCAGUAUGAUCCGACCAGACCUUACAUCAGCAUUGAGGAGUUGUCGGAGAAGAAAGAGGCUGAUUGAAGCGGGACAGAUGACAUGGAUCCAUCCUUCCACAGCCAGGAGCGCACCGACCUGUGUCCCACACUUCAUAUAAGACUGGAAGCUACACUGAUCUCACAGCUACACACCACAGACGUCUACACACUGGAGAAGAGUCCCACAAAGAAGUCAUGACCCAGAGGCUGCAGAGAAACAUUUCAAGCCUCAUCUGAGUUUUUGUACAAUAUUUUUGCUGUAUGUAAAUAAAGCUUUCACUCCACAUA